rnacentral:rRNA from 1 species
GCUCAACUUUGAAAUCUGGCAGCUUCGCUGUCCGAGUUGUAGUCUCGAGAAGCGUUUUCCGCGCUAGUGCAUGCAUGAGUCUGUUGGAAUACAGCGUCAUAGAGGGUGAGAACCCCGUUCAUGGCAUGCUUUCUAGUGCUUUGUGAUACGUUUUCGAUGAGUCGAGUUGUUUGGGAAUGCAGCUCAAAAUGGGUGGUAAAUUCCAUCUAAAGCUAAAUAUUGGCGGGAGACCGAUAGCAAACAAGUACCGUGAGGGAAAGAUGAAAAGCACUUUGGAAAGAGAGUUAAAAGUACGUGAAAUUGUCGAAAGGGAAACGCUUGAAGUCGGACGUGCAGGUUUACUUGCAGGCCAACAUCGGUUUCAUUAGUCGGAUAAAGGCAGAGAAAGGUGGCAGCUCCGGCUGUGUUAUAGUCUCUAGCUGAAUACGAAUAGUGAGACCGAGGACCGCAGCUUUUGCUUAGGAUGUUGGUGGAACGGCUUUAAACGACCCGUCUU